CAAAGAAGUUGCUUAUUUGGAUACAAAGACCAAUCCUAAGCCAGCUUUUGCUUCAGUUGGAAAUUGCCCGCUCAAAUUAACGCUUUCACAAACAAUGCAUCAUUUGGGUCAUCAUUUCGCUGUGUGAUACGAUCAGGGAAGCAAGUCUGAAGUUAUUCUACUGAAAGCCUGUAUCUUUUGCCUGUUUUCUAGAAUCAGUCGAACCAUAUCGAAAAAUUCAAAUUAUCUACAGAGAUGGGUCGUCUACAGAAUAAAGAAAUAUCGUAUAUGCCGAUCAUUGAAAAUGGGUUCGCAAAAAUUUCUAACUCAUCGAUUAAAUUUGGGAAUGGCAAGAAGAAGCAUACCAAUCAUCUGUGACUAUAGACGAUAGAGGUCAGGGAGGAAGAGAAGUUAAGCAUUCUAGAAGCAAUGACAAAAGCAGUGGGCCCAUCCUUGGCAACAACAUGACUUCUUCAGGGAAAUUUAACGAUCUCUUUGUGUCACCAGAACUGAGUCACAGAAUCCCGUACACCUCCAGACGGACACGGAACACAAUCCUCACAAUCACCAAAUCGCUCGACCUUCUGUCAGAGGCCACGAUGUCGAUCUCUUCGUUUUAUAUCUUCUAUUUUCAAUAUCCCACUUGCCUAAGUAAGACUCUCAUAUUUAUGCAAAGAUCUUAUUAGAUAUUCAGGAUGGAGACAACAGUCCACGGCCCAUAUUUACAUUAACAAUAAAUCAAACAUGCAGUGAGUUCAGAUAAUUAACCUUCUAUAUCUAUCUGUGUUAAUUCUUUAUUGUUGAAAUCUAGUAUAAUCAACACUCUAGUGUCCUAAUAAUUUUGGUUAAGGUUUGUUCCAUACAAUAAUAAUAAUUUAAGAUAAAUCUGAAAUUCCAAACAAUAUCAGAUUUAUUUUAAAUCUGUAUUAUAAAAUGUUGGUUUUCACAAUUUCAAAUCUAAAUAGUGUUUUCUUAAUCAGACGCCAAGUUUAUUGUGGGAUGCUCUGGGUAUAUGACUAAGUUUGAAAAGGUUUCCUUUUGCGUAAUCAACAAAUGCAAAUGUUUGUGUUAUGACAUUACAGAGCAAAAUAUUAGUUCUUUUUUAUUUAUUUGGACAGCAACAGUUUGUACAUACCAAAUUCUCUAAUUUGUAUUAUCUACAUUUUAUCACCCUUUUCACAAAGGAAUUCAUCUGACUAUUAAUUUGUAUUAUGUAUUUUUUCAUAAUUCUGUCACUCGAGUACAAACCCAAAAUUGUCCUUCUAUACCUUGAAUUUGUAUCAAAAUUAUUUUGUUGAUAUUUUCAUGAGGAGCAUGAUAACAUACUGCAAUGUACAAAACUCUUCAUGUUUACAGAAACACAUCGAACAAAAGUAAGCAAGUAAACUUCCAGAAAUAAUAAAGUUUUCAUAUGUAUAUUUUCAUAUUUGAAGUCCUUCAAUUGAAUAUCAACCUUUGAGUCAUUUUCCUACUGCCAUAUUUUUUCAACAAAAUAUACAUAUUCCCUGUAUCGAGAGUGUAACGAGACUGAAAUCUAAUUAAUGAUUA